rnacentral:rRNA from 1 species
GAGGUUAAGUGACUAAGCGUACACGGUGGAUGCCUAGGCAGUCAGAGGCGAUGAAGGGCGUGCUAAUCUGCGAAAAGCGUCGGUAAGGUGAUAUGAACCGUUACAACCGGCGAUACCCGAAUGGGGAAACCCAGUGUGUUUCGACACACUAUCAUGUCAUGAAUACAUAGUGGCAUGAGGCGAACCGGGGGAACUGAAACAUCUAAGUACCCCGAGGAAAAGAAAUCAACCGAGAUUCCCCCAGUAGCGGCGAGCGAACGGGGAGGAGCCCAGAACCUGAAUCGGCUUGUGUGUUAGUGGAAGCGUCUGGAAAGUCGCGCAGUAAAGGGUGAUAGCCCCGUACACUAAAAUACACAGGUCGUGAGUUCGAUGAGUAGGGCGGGACACGUGACAUCCUGUCUGAAUAUGGGGGGACCAUCCUCCAAGGCUAAAUACUCCUGACUGACCGAUAGUGAACCAGUACCGUGAGGGAAAGGCGAAAAGAACCCCGGCGAGGGGAGUGAAAUAGAACCUGAAACCGUGUACGUACAAGCAGUGGGAGCACCUUCGUGGUGUGACUGCGUACCUUUUGUAUAAUGGGUCAGCGACUUAUAUUUUGUAGCAAGGUUAACCGUAUAGGGGAGCCGUAGGGAAACCGAGUCUUAACUGGGCGAAUAGUUGCAAGGUAUAGACCCGAAACCCGGUGAUCUAGCCAUGGGCAGGUUGAAGGUUGGGUAACACUAACUGGAGGACCGAACCGACUAAUGUUGAAAAAUUAGCGGAUGACUUGUGGCUGGGGGUGAAAGGCCAAUCAAACCGGGAGAUAGCUGGUUCUCCCCGAAAGCUAUUUAGGUAGCGCCUCGUGAACUCAUCUUCGGGGGUAGAGCACUGUUUCGGCUAGGGGGCCAUCCCGGCUUACCAAACCGAUGCAAACUCCGAAUACCGAAGAAUGUUAUCACGGGAGACACACGGCGGGUGCUAACGUCCGUCGUGAAGAGGGAAACAACCCAGACCGCCAGCUAAGGUCCCAAAGUCAUGGUUAAGUGGGAAACGAUGUGGGAAGGCAUAGACAGCCAGGAUGUUGGCUUAGAAGCAGCCAUCAUUUAAAGAAAGCGUAAUAGCUCACUGGUCGAGUCGGCCUGCGCGGAAGAUGUAACGGGGCUAAACCAUGCACCGAAGCUGCGGCAGCGACGCUUAGGCGUUGUUGGGUAGGGGAGCGUUCUGUAAGCCGUUGAAGGUGGCCUGUGAGGGUUGCUGGAGGUAUCAGAAGUGCGAAUGCUGACAUAAGUAACGAUAAAGCGGGUGAAAAGCCCGCUCGCCGGAAGACCAAGGGUUCCUGUCCAACGUUAAUCGGGGCAGGGUGAGUCGACCCCUAAGGCGAGGCUGAAAAGCGUAGUCGAUGGGAAACAGGUUAAUAUUCCUGUACUUGGUGUUACUGCGAAGGGGGGACGGAGAAGGCUAGGCUAGCCGGGCGACGGUUGUCCCGGUUUAAGCGUGUAGGGGGUGUGACCUGGUAAAUCCGGUUACAUACUAACCCUGAGGCGUGAUGACGAUGCACUACGGUGCAGAAGUAGUUGAUGCCCUGCUUCCAGGAAAAGCCUCUAAGCUCUAGGUAACAUUAAAUCGUACCCCAAACCGACACAGGUGGUCAGGUAGAGAAUACCAAGGCGCUUGAGAGAACUCGGGUGAAGGAACUAGGCAAAAUGGUGCCGUAACUUCGGGAGAAGGCACGCUGGCAUGUAGGUGAAGUCCUUCGCGGAUGGAGCUGAAGCCAGUCGAAGAUACCAGCUGGCUGCAACUGUUUAAUAAAAACACAGCACUGUGCAAACACGAAAGUGGACGUAUACGGUGUGACGCCUGCCCGGUGCUGGAAGGUUAAUUGAUGGGGUCAGCCGCAAGGCGAAGCUCUUGAUCGAAGCCCCAGUAAACGGCGGCCGUAACUAUAACGGUCCUAAGGUAGCGAAAUUCCUUGUCGGGUAAGUUCCGACCUGCACGAAUGGCGUAAUGAUGGCCAGGCUGUCUCCACCCGAGACUCAGUGAAAUUGAACUCGCUGUGAAGAUGCAGUGUACCCGCGGCAAGACGGAAAGACCCCGUGAACCUUUACUAUAGCUUGACACUGAACAUUGAGCCUUGAUGUGUAGGAUAGGUGGGAGGCUUUGAAGCGUGGACGCCAGUCUGCGUGGAGCCAUCCUUGAAAUACCACCCUUUAAUGUUUGAUGUUCUAACUCGGCCCCAUAAUCUGGGGUGAGGACAGUGUCUGGUGGGUAGUUUGACUGGGGCGGUCUCCUCCCAAAGAGUAACGGAGGAGCACGAAGGUUAGCUAAUCACGGUCGGACAUCGUGAGGUUAGUGCAAAGGCAUAAGCUAGCUUGACUGCGAGAGUGACGGCUCGAGCAGGUACGAAAGUAGGUCUUAGUGAUCCGGUGGUUCUGAAUGGAAGGGCCAUCGCUCAACGGAUAAAAGGUACUCCGGGGAUAACAGGCUGAUACCGCCCAAGAGUUCAUAUCGACGGCGGUGUUUGGCACCUCGAUGUCGGCUCAUCACAUCCUGGGGCUGAAGUAGGUCCCAAGGGUAUGGCUGUUCGCCAUUUAAAGUGGUACGCGAGCUGGGUUUAGAACGUCGUGAGACAGUUCGGUCCCUAUCUGCCGUGGGCGUUGGAAGAUUGAGAGGGGUUGCUCCUAGUACGAGAGGACCGGAGUGAACGCACCACUGGUGUUCGGGUUGUCAUGCCAAUGGCAUUGCCCGGUAGCUAAGUGCGGAAAAGAUAAGCGCUGAAAGCAUCUAAGCGCGAAACUUGCCUCAAGAUGAGUCUUCCCUGGGCCUUUAAGGCCCCUGAAGGAACGUUUAAGACUAAGACGUUGAUAGGCUGGGUGUGUAAGUGCAGCGAUGCAUUGAGCUAACCAGUACUAAUGAUCCGUGAGGCUUAACCUUA